GGAUGGGUGGCCGAGCGGUUUAAGGCACCGGUCUUGAAAACCGGCACACGGGCGACCGUGUCGUGGGUUCGAAUCCCACCCCAUCCGCCA
rnacentral:tRNA from 1 species